UACGUAGGGUGCGAGCGUUAAUCGGAAUUACUGGGCGUAAAGCGUGCGCAGGCGGUUCGCCAAGUCAGGUGUGAAAUCCCCGGGCUUAACCUGGGAAUUGCGCUUGAAACUAGCGGGCUUGAGUGCGGCAGAGGGGGGUGGGAAUUCCACGUGUAGCAGUGAAAUGCGUAGAGAUGUGGAGGAACACCGAUGGCGAAGGCAGCCCCCUGGGUCGACACUGACGCUCAUGCACGAAAGCGUGGGGAGCAAACAGG
rnacentral:rRNA from 1 species